AUGAAGGCCAAGGCUUCUCGACCCCAAGCACACUUCUCGAAGACCAAGCUCCAAGAAGGCGAGCAUGAGGAUAGUACCACCAAGAUGUCCAAGCCCGACAAGCUCCAAGAUGAUGCUCCCAAGUUCGACUUCACCGCCAUCCCUCUUUGUGGCAUUAAUGAUGCCGAGUCUACUUUGACUCUUUUUCAAGAUGGUGUGUCGACAAGUAUGACUAUGGAGACCCUCAAGGACCAAGCUUUGGAGGCAAGUGGCGAGGUGGCGAGCAAGGAUGAUGCUUCCAUUUUUGGAGGCGAGAGUGAUGAUGUGCCAUCUUCGGCCUUCAUCCACGGCGACGACGACGAGAUGGUUGAGCAUGGGAUUUUCCCUUCGACCACGGCGACGUAUGAUGACUUAAGUGACUUUUGCCACCAUAUUGAGAGUGAGAGUGACUUCACCACUAGCCCCAUAUAUGAUGUGUUUCCACAAUUCCUAUGUGAGGAGAGCCACAACCCCACCUCUUGA
rnacentral:rRNA from 1 species